rnacentral:rRNA from 1 species
GAUGAACGCUAGCUACAGGCUUAACACAUGCAAGUCGAGGGGCAGCAUGGUCUUAGCUUGCUAAGGCCGAUGGCGACCGGCGCACGGGUGAGUAACACGUAUCCAACCUGCCGUCUACUCUUGGACAGCCUUCUGAAAGGAAGAUUAAUACAAGAUGGCAUCAUGAGUCCGCAUGUUCACAUGAUUAAAGGUAUUCCGGUAGACGAUGGGGAUGCGUUCCAUUAGAUAGUAGGCGGGGUAACGGCCCACCUAGUCUUCGAUGGAUAGGGGUUCUGAGAGGAAGGUCCCCCACAUUGGAACUGAGACACGGUCCAAACUCCUACGGGAGGCAGCAGUGAGGAAUAUUGGUCAAUGGGCGAGAGCCUGAACCAGCCAAGCAGCGUGAAGGAUGACUGCCCUAUGGGUUGUAAACUUCUUUUAUAAAGGAAUAAAGUCGGGUAUGGAUACCCGUUUGCAUGUACUUUAUGAAUAAGGAUCGGCUAACUCCGUGCCAGCAGCCGCGGUAAUACGGAGGAUCCGAGCGUUAUCCGGAUUUAUUGGGUUUAAAGGGAGCGUAGAUGGAUGUUUAAGUCAGUUGUGAAAGUUUGCGGCUCAACCGUAAAAUUGCAGUUGAUACUGGAUAUCUUGAGUGCAGUUGAGGCAGGCGGAAUUCGUGGUGUAGCGGUGAAAUGCUUAGAUAUCACGAAGAACUCCGAUUGCGAAGGCAGCCUGCUAAGCUGCAACUGACAUUGAGGCUCGAAAGUGUGGGUAUCAAACAGGAUUAGAUACCCUGGUAGUCCACACGGUAAACGAUGAAUACUCGCUGUUUGCGAUAUACUGCAAGCGGCCAAGCGAAAGCGUUAAGUAUUCCACCUGGGGAGUACGCCGGCAACGGUGAAACUCAAAGGAAUUGACGGGGGCCCGCACAAGCGGAGGAACAUGUGGUUUAAUUCGAUGAUACGCGAGGAACCUUACCCGGGCUUAAAUUGCAGAUGAAUUACGGUGAAAGCCGUAAGCCGCAAGGCAUCUGUGAAGGUGCUGCAUGGUUGUCGUCAGCUCGUGCCGUGAGGUGUCGGCUUAAGUGCCAUAACGAGCGCAACCCUUGUUGUCAGUUACUAACAGGUUCCGCUGAGGACUCUGACAAGACUGCCAUCGUAAGAUGUGAGGAAGGUGGGGAUGACGUCAAAUCAGCACGGCCCUUACGUCCGGGGCUACACACGUGUUACAAUGGGGGGUACAGAGGGCCGCUACCACGCGAGUGGAUGCCAAUCCCCAAAACCUCUCUCAGUUCGGACUGGAGUCUGCAACCCGACUCCACGAAGCUGGAUUCGCUAGUAAUCGCGCAUCAGCCACGGCGCGGUGAAUACGUUCCCGGGCCCU